GGCAACGGAUGACUUGGCAACAGGGGCAGGGGCGAAUGCCGCAGCGGAGGCGAUAAGGGUGGCAAAGAUAGCAGACUUCAUGGUAUUAAUGUA
rnacentral:rRNA from 1 species